UACGUAGGUCCCAAGCGUUAUCCGGAUUUAUUGGGUUUAAAGGGUGCGUAGGCGGACUAUUAAGUCAGUGGUGAAAGCCCCCAGCCUAACUGGGGAACUGCCAUUGAUACUGAUGGUCUUGAGUACAUUUGAGGUGGGCGGAAUGUGUCAUGUAGCGGUGAAAUGCUUAGAUAUGACACAGAACACCGAUUGCGAAGGCAGCUCACUAAACUGUAACUGACGCUGAGGCACGAAAGCGUGGGGAGCAAACAGG
rnacentral:rRNA from 1 species